rnacentral:rRNA from 1 species
CGUAGGUGGCAAGCGUUGUCCGGAAUUAUUGGGCGUAAAGCGCGCGCAGGCGGUUCCUUAAGUCUGAUGUGAAAGCCCCCGGCUCAACCGGGGAAGGUCAUUGGAAACUGGGGAACUUGAGUGCAGAAGAGAAGAGCGGAAUUCCACGUGUAGCGGUGAAAUGCGUAGAGAUGUGGAGGAACACCAGUGGCGAAGGCGGCUCUUUGGUCUGUAACUGACGCUGAGGCGCGAAAGCGUGGGGGAGCAAACAGGAUUAGAUAACCCUGGUAGUCCACGCCGUAAACGAUGAGUGCUAAGUGUUAGAGGGUUUCCGCCCUUUAGUGCUGCAGCUAACGCAUUAAGCACUCCGCCUGGGGAGUACGGCCGCAAGGCUG